AUACUCACCUGGCAGGGGAGCUACCAUGAUCACAAAGAGGGUUUUUCAGGGUGAGGCUAAUGGACUCUGGAUGAGCUCACCCCUGCAUUUUCCCCAAAUGUGGGAAAUUUGACAACAUAAUUUGUGGUAGCAGGGGACUGCGUUUAUGCUUUCCUCUA